rnacentral:lncRNA from 1 species
ACAAGGGCAGGUUCAUGGGAGCCUUUAGCCAGCCAAUAAGGAGCCAGCCUUCCCUUUGACCAGAUUUGAAUUAACCAACCAGGCACCAAAGAGAGUUUAACCAAUCAGAUGAGGCUAUAAUGACCAGAUCAACUCUCCAUCUCGUCCCUCCAUCCUUCUAGUCUUUUAUGAGCCAUUAGAUGUAGGUUUUAAGUUUAUGGAAUGUAAAGAGCAUAUAUAAGCUCAUAUGUUAGGAAAUGUAUCUCUUAAGUGAGUAAGGGGGAUUUCCCCUUCUCCUUCCUAGUCUUUGGUUACUUUGAAUCUCCAAAUCUCUAUUCUCUGGUUACUUAAUCUCUCAGUCUCUCUAAUCUCACAAUCUCUCACUCAAAGUCUCUUAUUCUCACGCCAUUCUUAUUCUUCCAUCAGUCUCUCUUUUAUUCUCUUCCAUUGUUGACACAAGACUCAGUCCCAACCUGUGGAGGUUGAUUCAUCACGCCCACACACAGCCUGUGCUC